rnacentral:rRNA from 1 species
AACGAACGCUGGCGGCGUGCCUAACACAUGCAAGUCGAACGAGAAAGGGGCUUCGGUCCUGAGUAAAGUGGCGCACGGGUGAGUAACACGUAGGUAACCUGCCUCUAAGAUUGGGAUAACCUGUCGAAAGACGAGCUAAUACCGAAUAAGACCACGGUUCCCUCGGGAGCAGGGGUCAAAGGUAGCCUCUACUUGUAAGCUAUCACUUAGAGAUGGGCCUGCGUACCAUUAGCUAGUUGGUGGGGUAACGGCCUACCAAGGCAAAGAUGGUUUGCUGGUCUGAGAGGAUGAUCAGCCACACUGGAACUGAGACACGGUCCAGACUCCUACGGGAGGCAGCAGUGGGGAAUAUUGCGAAAUGGGCGAAAGCCUGACGCAGCAACGCCGCGUGAGUGAUGAAGGCCUUCGGGUCGUAAAGCUCUGUCGGAGGGAACGAAUGCUCCUGAGGUUAACAGCCUCGGGAAGUGACGGUACCCUCAAAGGAAGCACCGGCUAACUCUGUGCCAGCCGCCGCAGUAAGAC